AUGUCGGCCGUAACUAUAACGGUCCUAAGGUAGCGAAAUUCCUUGUCGGGUAAGUUCCGACCUGCACGAAUCGUGCAACGAGAUGGGCGCUGUCUCAACAGGGAGCUCAGUGAAAUUGUAUCCGCGGUGAAGAUGCCGCGUACCCGCAGAAGGACGGAAAGACCCUAUAGACCUUAACUGUAAGCUGUCACUGGUUUCUCGAUUUUAAUGCUCAGCAUAAGUGGGAGGCUUUGAACCAUUCCUCUAGGGGANUGGGGAGCCAUCAGUGAGAUACCACCCUUUAGCAUUGGGGAAUCUAACCUCUAGCCUUNAUCAGGCAGAGGGACCAUGGCAGCCGGUCAGUUUGACUGGGGCGGUCUCCUCCUAAAGAGUAACGGAGGAGCGCGAAGGUAGGCUCAGCGCGGUUGGCAAUCGCGUUUCGAGUGCAUUGGCAUAAGCCUGCCUAACUGCGAGACUUACAAGUCGAGCAGAGACGAAAGUCGGCCAAAGUGAUCCGGCGGUGGAAUAUGGAAUCGCCGUCGCUCAUCGGACAAAAGGUACCUUAGGGAUAACAGGCUGAUCGCGCCCAAGAGUUCAUAUCGACGGCGCGGUUUGGCACCUCGAUGUCGGCUCGUCACAUCCUGGGGCUGGAGAAGGUCCCAAGGGUUCGGCUGUUCGCCGAUUAAAGUGGCACGCGAGCUGGGUUCAGAACGUCGCGAGACAGUUCGGUCCUCUAUCCUCUGUGGGCGUAGGAAAAUUGAGGGGUUCAAACUCUAGUACGAGAGGACCGAGUUUGACGAGCCUCUGGUGCUCCGGUUGUCGCGUCAGCGGCAUAGCCGGGUAGCUAAGCUCGGAACAGAUAAGCGCUGAAAGCAUCUAAGCGCCAAGCUAUUCCCAAGAUAAAUUUUCCCUGAAGGAUCGUGGAAGACUACCACGUUGAUAGGCUGCUUGUGUAAUGAUGGUUAACAUUUUUAGCUUAGCAGUACUAAUAAUCCGUCCGACUUGUUU
rnacentral:rRNA from 1 species